GGCGCGCUGCCGCGGCCGCGAGUGGAAAACCAGCGACGAAGGAGGGAAGGAUGAACGAGGCGAGAGGAUGUUAUCGGUGCACCUGUCGCUCCUAAAUCUUGCUACUUAAGACUGCUAAGUGUCACGGACAUUUCUCACCCUUUCGUCUUCGGCAUUGCACUUAAUUGGCUAGCGCGUGGUUGCGUGUUUUCACGUCCGAUUGCGGGACUGUGUGCGCGUGUCUACUCCGAAUUAGUUUCACCUCUAGUCCUAGUACUAUCGUAAACACUUCCCUGAUUAAUUUUUCAAGGAGAACUAUAGUAGUAUGGAUAUUAUGUUGUGAUCGCGAUGCAAUAAUUGACGUUUUAAAUGCGAUCGUAGCACCAUCUAACACUUCUCAAACUUAGUAUAGAGAUAUACAAAUUCAAACGAGCUACACGCAAGCAAAUAUAAUAUUUAAAAAUAUUUCAAUUCAAACACACCGACAUAUGGACAAAAUUAUAAGAUGCUAACUAAAUCGAAACAUGGGAUUAUCGGAAGUUUGGCCCUUAUUUUAUUAUCAAAUGUUAGAAUUUAAUAUAAAGAUAAAGCAAUGUAAUAAAGAAAAAAUUACGAAUUGGCCAGAACCGCCAGAACCGGCAAAACAAACAUCCAACUGUCCAAGGUCAGAGAAGCAUGUCCAUGGGUAAACUUAAGUGUGGAGGACAUACUGAGCAUACACAGGACAGGACGACAUAUAGUAGUUGGUGGUAGUUGGGACUGUUGGGACAGUUGGGACAGAAUGAGAAGAGGGAACAUCCCUUAAUAUAGCAUCCCUGGUCUGAUCAUUAAAUUUUACUGACGAAAGCAUUGCAAAUAUACUUAAAAAGGUGCACGUGAUAUAAUAAAUGAUAAUUAUCAUUGUAGAAUCUGUAUAACCUAUAAAAAAUAACACAUAUCUGUAUAGAAAAGGGAAUUUUUAUUUGUAGAUAUUUUGCAGCAAAAGGUUACUGUUAUUAGAAAUGUCUACUAAUAUAGAAAUAAAUGAUCCUCCUAAUAAUA